GAUGAACGCUGGCGGCGUGCCUAAUACAUGCAAGUCGAGCGAACGGACGAGAAGCUUGCUUCUCUGAUGUUAGCGGCGGACGGGUGAGUAACACGUGGAUAACCUACCUAUAAGACUGGGAUAACUUCGGGAAACCGGAGCUAAUACCGGAUAAUAUUUUGAACCGCAUGGGUCAAAAGUGAAAGACGGUCUUGCUGUCACGUAUAGAUGGAUACGCGCUGCAUUAGCUAGUUGGUAAGGUAACGGCUUACCAAGGCAACGAUGCAUAGCCGACCUGAGAGGGUGAUCGGCCACACUGGAACUGAGACACGGUCCAGACUCCUACGGGAGGCAGCAGUAGGGAAUCUUCCGCAAAGGGCGAAAGCCUGACGGAGCAACGCCGCGUGAGUGAUGAAGGUCUUCGGAUCGUAAAACUCUGUUAUUAGGGAAGAACAUAUGUGUAAGUAACUGUGCACAUCUUGACGGUACCUAAUCAGAAAGCCACGGCUAACUACGUG
rnacentral:rRNA from 1 species